UGGCCCCUGCCUGGGUGGCAAAAGUCAGUUUAACUGUUUUCAGCUGUCAGUAGAAUUGGCCGUGACCUUGGUGAUCUUUCUGCUUAUAGCCCUCUUUUGUAUAGGAUGAAUGUGGGCAUUCGUUAGAUGACUACUCAUUUCCGGCAGAAGUAAUACAUCAUCAUGAAAUACAAUCUAUACAAAAAGGAUGACGGGUGGCAGUGUAGGAACAGGAGGACCCUUGUCUUCUAAGCAGUCAGGGCAAAAAGGGUCCGUUUUACUAUGUAGCCCAGGAACAGAUGUUUCACGUGGACGUUACGUUCAAUGAAAUUACAUAAUGCAUCAUUUCGUAACAAAUGACCCACAGUCUCUGCUGCCCCUUAAAUUGUCUCACAGCUGGUUUCUAACUCAGACAGGAGUGAACUUCUCAGUUUGGGGACGUCAUUUCUACUCAGGCAGGUAAUGCUUGAGAUGUUAUUGCUUCUAGAAGCAAAGACCUCUUUGAGUAAGUCAUAAAUGCCCGAUGUUUUAUGUAGGUUAUUGGAUACUGGUGUAUUUCAUGGAUGCUGACAGAAAUUUGUUAACUUUUCUUAAAGAACCAAGACAAAUAGCUGCUUAGCUUCAUCAUUACUUGUGCGUCCGGCUGAGACAGAUAUCCUGCUUUUAUAUGGUUUUCUCUUCUGUGGCAGAAAUGAAGGGGCCACCUUCUUACAAGCACAUCCUAUAUAGCGAUGCAGCUUUAGGGCGAAAAGAAAGCUAUACAAUGAACUUGGUCAGUAAGAAAAUGAAUGGAGCUAAAGAACGACAUGACGAAUUGUGAGACAAAGAGUUCUGAGUUCCUGGCAAAGCAGAAGUAGGGUUGAAUUAGAGGGAAAGGGACAGAUGUGGGCGAACUGACGGGGCGCAGUUUCCGACGCAGACUGAUUACUCACAGUGUAUGUUCUGAGACAGAUUCCUGUUUGCCGAAGCACCGUGGUCAGAUGCAACGACUUGGAAAGGGAGCUGUGGUCAGGCAAGAAAAACAAAGGACAUUUCUUUCUUGUGAACAUAUUGCUCUUGAUCUCAGUCAGUGGUAGAAGCUGGGACCCUGAAACAUGAGGAGAAGGGCGAGAAUGAGAACACUCAGCCACUCCUGGCUCUGGACUGAACCCCGAGUCACCCCACGCUCCUGCACAUCGCCAGCCUUCAGUGGCAUCAGCCACCUGGGAAGCACGGGCGCACCGACUCACACAGACACGUGCAUUCGGCUUGACACAAGACCCUUCACUCCUGCCACCCAGCAAUGACUGUCACCAGCCACUGGUCAGAGCAGCCAAAGUGGAACAAAGACCUGAGAGAUGUUUUUGUUUUUGUUUUUGUUUUCCUUCUUCAGCAAGGGGAUUGGAGGAUGAAGCAAGGCAGUUAUGAAGCAAGGCAGGAUUCUCCCUCCCCCCAUAAUUAUGGUAUUCAAUGAAUUGAAGAGAAAAACUAAAUCUGAUCCACACACUGCAUUAGGACAAAGAUUCUUCUGAGGCAUCACGCAGAGACCCUCUCCAGUUUUUGCAGUUUAAGAUUAAGUGCUUUUCCAAGUAGAUACAUCAGAAUUAAAAUGUGCAGCAGACACGAUUGUCAAGUUUAAUGUAAUGCAAAGCCCUGGGACAACAGUAUCUCCAGUAAUUUCCAUUCUUACUGAAUUAUUUUCUUUGACCUCAUCACCAGCAUCAAAUUGUUCAGCCUAAGAGCAUGUUCUCGGAGGUCGGCUAUUUGCAGAGUUUGCUUAUUUUGACAUCCUGCAAAAAUGAGUUUAACGUCACAUCUUUUGUCAGGCCAGCAGCUGAUUAUUAUGAGCUGACUUUAAAAGAAAGGCACACAAUUUGAAACAUGAUUAUUUCAUCUUAGCAAUGUGACUUCCCACAGGCUACCUGUGUCUGCAGGUGGGGUGGGGGUGGGGGUCCCACCGGAAACACAUGUCAGUGACUGAUGAAUCCACUUAAGUGGCCUCACAUGGGUCACUACAGCAGAGAAAAGAGCUGCUAAAGCAUUUAACCCCCCACCCUCCUGCAGCCAGUAAAGGUUGUAGAGAAAGGGCUUGGCUGUUGCUGAGUGGGUAGGUAUUCGGUCAUGGAGGAAGACUCUUAAAGGAUGGUUAAAUAUGCGACUAUGGAAAAUAAGAGAAGACUGGGAACGCAGGAUGAAAUGCCAAAGACCGUUUUAUUUCUUUGU